GUGUAUAAAUCUGUGUGCUGUGCAGGAACAUGGCUCUUUCGUUGCUGAAGAGACUGCGAAAGUAGCAGCGGCUCGGGCUGCGCAUACGCCAGCAGCGUGUUGGAUGGAGGCUGGAGGACACUUGAACGUGUGAAAUCCUGGCUGUGGAAUGAGCCGGUGCAUGCGGCUGUGUGUGGAUGCACAUGCACCCAAUUAAGUUGCAACUGCAGUGGCCUGAGGUGGCAAGAGGCGUGGCAGCUUGACAAUUCAUUUGCAUUUCAAACGGGCAAAUUGCGGUGCACCAACACCUGACUCGUGCUCUGCGCUGCCCUGCUUUUUGUGUGUGUGUGUGUCUGCGCCUCAUUAUGCGUUGCAAUUAUGACGUUGCAACUACAAGGAGGUGGAUGACGAUGCCAACGAAUUGCAGGCUGCACUUCAGCUUCAGCGUGCAUUUUUACUGUCUCGAGUUGACUGCAUCUCUGCGCUGCAACGUUCUUUCGUUGCAUCUCUGCGCUGCAACGUUCACUGCGCCGUUGUCAACAAGCAGUGCAAAAAGUAUGUUGACAACCCCAUGCAACAACAGCAACAACAAGAAGAACACGAGUAACGAGAUUAACAAGCUGCAACUACUAGGCGAGUCAACCAGUCAGGCAGGCAGGCAGGCGGCGGUCCGGACUCCAGCGACAGACAUCGCCCUGCUCCGCUCCGCUUCGCCUGACUGACUGCGCACUGAGUAUAGAGCUGAGGCCCAGGACUGAGACACGGAUUGACAGCGGCCCAGGCGCAUUAUAAAACUUGAGUACCAGGGACCACCCUGCAAUUGAAAUCAGCUCAAUUGUGUGUAGGCCCCCAUGGCCCCAUACUAGUGCAAGUACAGAGGGGGCACACGAUCCACAGCCAGAGCCAGAGUCCAAUCAUCUACUGCGGAUUGAGUAGUCUACGGGAGCCUUUGGCAAUCUUAUUGUUCGCUGCUUGAGCGUUCCAAAAUGGCGUUUGCUGCUGGGAGUCCGGACUAACGCUCACUCGAACCACAAAGAAAACCACAAAAACAACGACCAUUUGACCAUCUCAUCUACCGCAUACAGUUGCCAUGAAUCACCAUCACCUGGCGGUGGCUUCAUCCACAGCUACAGCUAACAGUCUGUGCCACUGCCUCUGCCACUGCCUGGCUGUGCCUCUGGGCACUGGUUCUGGUUCUGGUUCGGGGUCUGAGGUCUGGCGGAACAUCCAUCAAUGUGCCGUUGACAUUUCCUUGGACCGUUGACAAGAAUUGUCACAAUAAACAAUACAACCACGACGACAACAAGAGCAGCCAGAACAAUGAUGGCAAUGCGAGGAGAGGACACGUGACGUGACGCGAUGAGAUCAGCGGCGGCAGCCAGGAGUCCGUCCAGAUCUGGGGCAGGAGCAGCGAAUCAGCAUGAUGAUUAGUUCGGCAGGAAAAUGCAUAUCAUGAGCACGAUUAAAUCAAAAAGGUUUCAGACGGAUUCUGGAUUGCCUAUCUGUCACCUAAAUUUGUGUGCAUUGAAGAUCUUCUAUAAGGGGUAAGUG
rnacentral:sRNA from 1 species